CCAAAAAUCCUUGUUUCUUCCCUAAUCCGAAUUUAAGGAAAAUUGUGAUUUCCAACUCGUUUUGAGCUCUAUUUUUAUGGGUUUUUCAACCAUGAGUUCCUUAUUACCAAUAGAAUGGGAUUGUUCAAUAAAUUUACAGAUUUGACCCUUUUCGAAAAUAGUUAAUUUUUGGACCAUUUUACCCCCGGUUCCGAAACCUAUCAAUAUGGGUGUCAUUGGACUCCAUGUGACGUGUAUGUUUCAUUGUUGAUAGUGGGUUGUCAUUCCGGGCGCUGAAUUCGAGAGUUGCUUGUCCGGUGGAGGUAUUCGAGUGCGGUUUCGGCAAUUGAGAUACUAGUCGGGGUACCCCACGUGGCAGUUAAUAUUCUAGCGGAUUGUGUAUUCUCAGAUUAGUGGUGAGGUCCCAGAAUUUGGAUCGUCACUAGUCUAUCUUUAUUUUUCAGUCUUUUGUACCAUUCAGAGACUUAUGUUGUAUCUUCAGAUUCGAACCUUGUAUUAGAUGCUCUUUAUACUUAUGACACCA